rnacentral:rRNA from 1 species
CCUACGGGAGGCAGCAGUGAGGAAUAUUGGUCAAUGGGCGCGAGCCUGAACCAGCCAAGUCGCGUGAGGGAGGACGGCCCUACGGGUUGUAAACCUCUUUUGCCGGGGAGCAACGGUCGUCACGUGUGGCGCCACUGAGAGUACCCGGAGAAAAAGCAUCGGCUAACUCCGUGCCAGCAGCCGCGGUAGUACGGAGGAUGCGAGCGUUAUCCGGAGUUAUUGGGUUUAAAGGGUGCGUAGGCGGAAUGUCAAGUCAGCGGUAAAAUUUCGGGGCUCAACCCCGUCGUGCCGUGGAAACUGGCGAUCUUGAGUGAGCGAGAAGUAAGCGGAAUGCGUGGUGUAGCGGUGAAAUGCAUAGAUAUCACGCAGAACUCCGAUUGCGAAGGCAGCAUACCGGCGCUCAACUGACGCUCAUGCACGAAAGCGUGGGUAGCGAACAGGAUUAGAUACCCCUGUAGUC